AGACUGGUUAAUGAUAACAAUGCAUUGUAAAACCUUCCGAAGGAAGGAAAAUGUUUUGUGGGCCAUUUGGUUUUUUUUGUGUGUGUGGCAGUUUAAGUUAUUA
rnacentral:miRNA from 1 species